UCUCUUUACACAAAAAUGGCUAUAUGCAGGCCAUGUUUCUCUAUAAAUCCUCCAUAAAAAAUUCAUCUAUAUUUUCAUGUAUCUUCUUCACCAGAGAACAAAAAUCCCUACAUCUCUUCAUCUCACUUUUUUUUUUCUCUAAUAUCUAGUAUGGAAUUAAAACCUUUCUCCCUCAAUCCUUGAUGGAUUGCAACCACACCCAAGCAAUUUCUUUCCCCUCUCAGUUACAUUUUUCAUAUUAUUUUCAAAGCUAUGAAUUUGAUUUAUGGUGGAAGAUGCUAAAUAUAUGUUAUAGACAUUUUUGUGUUGAUGGAAGUAGAGGAGUGGAAGUAGACAUUUUUGUUGCAUCUAAGUUGAUAGGAGUUUGGUACUCUCUAAACUGAAAGAUUUAUAAUCUCUGCUGCCCACAUCUUUAUUUAUCACAACUCAAAGGAACAAAUUUUUCUCAUGUUAGUCGGUAGUCGUGUAUAAAACACGAGUAAAGAAGAAGUUUUUGAAGAUACAAGUACUUCCAUCAUAUUAUCCAUGUUUGUUUUACUUUUAUGUUUUCUUUUUCAUUCAUCUUACGCAACUAUUAUGAUUUUUUUUAUAUGGUUUCAAUUAUUAUUAUUAUUGUCCCAAUUGAUUAAUGAAUGAAUGGCAGGGGUGUUUACAACUGAGAUAGAUGCAGAACAAGGGAUGUGGAACCAAACAUUCUCAUCAAGCAAUCUAAACCAAACAACAACAUUAUAUAUUUUGUAUUUUGCUGUCUUUGUCUUUUUAGCUGGAAAAAAUUUUGUUCUAAAAAAAAAAGUGUAAUGCUAUUUUGUAGGGAUAAUUAUUAACAAAAAUAUUUUAUGGAAAGCAAUCAAAGCGCAUGCAACUACUAGCAUCAAAUAUCUUAUGGAGACCAAAAUUUUAAUUUUUUUUUCCAUAAAAUAUUUGUUGUCUUUCCAGCUAAAAAGUUUUAUUAUAUUUAUUCCCAUUCAAUUUAAUAAAGCAACAAGUUGACAUUGUUCCUUUUGUUCUCAGGAGAAGAAUUUUUGAAGAUACAGGGUGUUUACAACAGAGAUAAAUGCAGAAUAAGGGAUGUGGAACCAAACAUUCUCAUAAAGAAGCUUGCAACCUAAACCAAACAAUAACAAUAUAUUUUGUAUUUUGUUGUCUUUGUAGUUAAGUAAAAAAACGUAUUUGUAGGGAUAAUUAUUCCUAAUUUUACUAAACAUUCCUAUUUUUACUCUCUCUUAUUUAA